rnacentral:rRNA from 1 species
UACGUAGGGUGCAAGCGUUGUCCGGAAUUAUUGGGCGUAAAGAGCUCGUAGGCGGUCUGUCGCGUCGGCUGUGAAAUCCCGAGGCUCAACCUCGGGUCUGCAGUCGAUACGGGCAAACUAGAGUAUUGCAGGGGAGACUGGAAUUCCUGGUGUAGCGGUGAAAUGCGCAGAUAUCAGGAGGAACACCGGUGGCGAAGGCGGGUCUCUGGGCCGAUACUGACGCUGAGACGCGAAAGCGUGGGGAGCAAACAGG